GAUGAACGCUGGCGGCGUGCCUAAUACAUGCAAGUCGAGCGAAUGGAUUAAGAGCUUGCUCUUAUGAAGUUAGCGGCGGACGGGUGAGUAACACGUGGGUAACCUGCCCAUAAGACUGGGAUAACUCCGGGAAACCGGGGCUAAUACCGGAUAACAUUUUGAACCGCAUGGUUCGAAAUUGAAAGGCGGCUUCGGCUGUCACUUAUGGAUGGACCCGCGUCGCAUUAGCUAGUUGGUGAGGUAGCGGGUCACCAAGGCAACGAUGCGUAGCCGACCUGAGAGGGUGAUCGGCCACACUGGGACUGAGACACGGCCCAGACUCCUACGGGAGGCAGCAGUAGGGAAUCUUCCGCAAUGGACGAAAGUCUGACGGAGCAACGCCGCGUGAGUGAUGAAGGCUUUCGGGUCGUAAAACUCUGUUGAUAGGGAAGAACAAGUGCUAGUUGAAUAAGCUGGCACCUUGACGGUACCUAACCAGAAAGCCACGGCUAACUACGUGCCAGCCGCCGCAGUAA
rnacentral:rRNA from 1 species